CUAAAUCUCUCUCUCUCUCUCUCUCUCUCUCUCUCUCUCUCUCUCUCUCUAUAUAUAUAUAUAUGAGCAGGAUUAAUGUUGUGCUCUCAGGAGCACGGAGGCCUCCGUACUCCUGAGCCGUUUUCGAUGAUGGAAUUUUCGAAUCAACGAUCGGCUCCGCUAGACUUGAUCCAGCGUAUUUGAAGUUUCUAGAAAAUAAUUUUUGCAAUUUUUUGAUAUCAUUUACCUAGUGAUUGAAAGGAUUCAAAAUCAAUAAUUUUCAACGGUUGAAAAUAAAAAUCUUAUAAAAAGUGGUGAUAUAGCACUAAAAUUUUCGAUCAAAAAUAUUGAUCUUGUUGUAGAUAGUAUAAAGAAUUUUGUAUCAAAAUUUUAUUUGAUUUGAAUACUUCCACACCGUUAAUUAAACUUGAAAACGGCAUAUAUCAACCAUUAAAAAUUAUUGAUUUUAAACCCUUUCAAUCACUAGGUAAAUGAUAUAAAAAAUUAGCAAAAAUUAUUUUCUAUAAACUUCAAAUACGC
rnacentral:lncRNA from 1 species